UUAAGUUAAUAAAGGCGCACGGUGGAUGCCUUGGCACUAGAAGCCGAUGAAGGACGUGACUAACGACGAAAUGCUUUGGGGAGCUGUAAGUGAGCAAUGAUCCAGAGAUGUCCGAAUGGGGGAACCCGGCAGGUAAUGCCUGUCACUCAUUACUGUUAAGGUAAUGUAGAGGAAGACGCAGUGAACUGAAACAUCUAAGUAGCUGUAGGAAGAGAAAGCAAAAGCGAUUGCCUUAGUAGCGGCGAGCGAAACGGCAAGAGGGCAAACCGAAGAGUUUACUCUUCGGGGUUGUAGGACUGCAACGUGGACUUAAAGAUUAUAGAAGAACUACCUGGGAAGGUAGGCCAAAGAGAGUAAUAGCCUCGUAUUCGAAAUAGUCUUUAUACCUAGCAGUAUCCUGAGUACGGCGAGACACGAGAAAUCUCGUCGGAAUCUGGGAGGACCAUCUCCCAACCCUAAAUACUCUCUAGUGACCGAUAGUGAACCAGUACCGUGAGGGAAAGGUGAAAAGCACCCCGGGAGGGGAGUGAAAUAGAACCUGAAACCGUGUGCCUACAACAAGUUCGAGCCCGUUAAUGGGUGAGAGCGUGCCUUUUGUAGAAUGAACCGGCGAGUUACGAUAUGAUGCGAGGUUAAGUUGAAGAGACGGAGCCGUAGGGAAACCGAGUCUUAAUAGGGCGCAUUAGUAUCAUGUCGUAGACCCGAAACCAUGUGACCUACCCAUGAGCAGGUUGAAGGUGAGGUAAAACUCACUGGAGGACCGAACCAGGGCACGUUGAAAAGUGCUUGGAUGACUUGUGGGUAGCGGAGAAAUUCCAAACGAACUUGGAGAUAGCUGGUUCUCUCCGAAAUAGCUUUAGGGCUAGCGUCGAUGUUAAGUCUCUUGGAGGUAGAGCACUGUUUGGGUGAGGGGUCCAUCCCGGAUUACCAAUCUCAGAUAAACUCCGAAUGCCAAUGAGAUAUAAUCGGCAGUCAGACUGCGAGUGCUAAGAUCCGUAGUCGAAAGGGAAACAGCCCAGACCACCAGCUAAGGUCCCAAAAUAUAUGUUAAGUGGAAAAGGAUGUGGGGUUGCACAGACAACUAGGAUGUUAGCUUAGAAGCAGCUAUUCAUUCAAAGAGUGCGUAAUAGCUCACUAGUCGAGUGACCCUGCGCCGAAAAUGUACCGGGGCUAAAACAUAUUACCGAAGCUGUGGAUACCUUUAUAGGUAUGGUAGGAGAGCGUUCUAUGUGCGAAGAAGGUGUACCGUGAGGAGUGCUGGAGCGCAUAGAAGUGAGAAUGCCGGUAUGAGUAGCGAAAGACAGGUGAGAAUCCUGUCCACCGUAAGACUAAGGUUUCCAGGGGAAGGCUCGUCCGCCCUGGGUUAGUCGGGACCUAAGGAGAGACCGAAAGGUGUAUCCGAUGGACAACAGGUUGAUAUUCCUGUACUAGAGUAUAUAGUGAUGGAGGGACGCAGUAGGCUAACUAAACCAGACGAUUGGAAGUGUCUGGCCAAGCAGUGAGGUGUGAUAUGAGUCAAAUGCUUAUAUCUUUAACAUUGAGCUGUGAUGGGGAGCGAAGUUUAGUAGCGAAGUUAGUGAUGUCACACUGCCGAGAAAAGCUUCUAGCGUUAAUUAUACUCUACCCGUACCGCAAACCGACACAGGUAGUCGAGGCGAGUAGCCUCAGGUGAGCGAGAGAACUCUCGUUAAGGAACUCGGCAAAAUGGCCCCGUAACUUCGGGAGAAGGGGCGCUGACUGAUGGUCAGCCGCAGUGAAUAGGCCCAAGCAACUGUUUAUCAAAAACACAGCUCUCUGCUAAAUCGUAAGAUGAUGUAUAGGGGGUGACGCCUGCCCGGUGCUGGAAGGUUAAGAGGAGUGCUUAGCGUAAGCGAAGGCAUGAAUUGAAGCCCCAGUAAACGGCGGCCGUAACUAUAACGGUCCUAAGGUAGCGAAAUUCCUUGUCGGGUAAGUUCCGACCCGCACGAAAGGCGUAAUGAUUUGGGCACUGUCUCAACGAGAGACUCGGUGAAAUUUUAGUACCUGUGAAGAUGCAGGUUACCCGCGACAGGACGGAAAGACCCCAUGGAGCUUUACUGCAGUUUGAUAUUGAGUAUCUGUACCACAUGUACAGGAUAGGUAGGAGCCUAUGACCUCGGGACGCCAGUUUCGAGUGAGGCGUUGUUGGGAUACUACCCUUGUGUUAUGGCUACUCUAACCCAGAUAGGUUAUCCCUAUCGGAGACAGUGUCUGACGGGCAGUUUGACUGGGGCGGUCGCCUCCUAAAAGGUAACGGAGGCGCCCAAAGGUUCCCUCAGAAUGGUUGGAAAUCAUUCGCAGAGUGUAAAGGUAUAAGGGAGCUUGACUGCGAGAGCUACAACUCGAGCAGGGACGAAAGUCGGGCUUAGUGAUCCGGUGGUUCCGUAUGGAAGGGCCAUCGCUCAACGGAUAAAAGCUACCCUGGGGAUAACAGGCUUAUCUCCCCCAAGAGUUCACAUCGACGGGGAGGUUUGGCACCUCGAUGUCGGCUCGUCGCAUCCUGGGGCUGUAGUCGGUCCCAAGGGUUGGGCUGUUCGCCCAUUAAAGCGGCACGCGAGCUGGGUUCAGAACGUCGUGAGACAGUUCGGUCCCUAUCCGUCGCGGGCGUAGGAAAUUUGAGAGGAUCUGCUCCUAGUACGAGAGGACCAGAGUGGACUUACCGCUGGUGUACCAGUUGUUCUGCCAAGAGCAUCGCUGGGUAGCUAUGUAGGGAAGGGAUAAACGCUGAAAGCAUCUAAGUGUGAAGCCCACCUCAAGAUGAGAUUUCCCAUGAUUUUAUAUCAGUAAGAGCCCUGAGAGAUGAUCAGGUUGAUAGGUUAGAAGUGGAAGUGUGGUGACACAUGUAGCGGACUAAUACUAAUAGCUCGAGGACUUAUCCAA
rnacentral:rRNA from 1 species